CGUUCCCGGGUCUUGUACACACCGCCCGUCACACCACGAAAGUCGGCGACACCUGAAGCCGCCGGGCUAACCCCUCUGGGGGAGGUAGGCGUCGAGGGUGGGGGUCGGUGAUUGGGGUG
rnacentral:rRNA from 1 species